rnacentral:rRNA from 1 species
UACGAAGGGGGCUAGCGUUGCUCGGAAUCACUGGGCGUAAAGCGCACGUAGGCGGAUCUUUAAGUCAGGGGUGAAAGUCCUGGAGCUCAACUCCAGAACUGCCUUUGAUACUGGGGAUCUCGAGUCCGGGAGAGGUGAGUGGAACUGCGAGUGUAGAGGUGAAAUUCGUAGAUAUUCGCAAGAACACCAGUGGCGAAGGCGGCUCACUGGCCCGGUACUGAC